rnacentral:rRNA from 1 species
ACCUGGUUGAUCCUGCCAGUGGUCAUAUGCUCGUCUCAAAGACUAAGCCAUGCAUGUCCGGGUUCAAAACAAUUUUUGUUGAAACUGCGAAGCGCUCAGUAAAUCAGUUAUAGUCUGUUCGAGCGAAAAACAGACGCCGAGGAUAACUGUGGUAAAUCUAGAGCUAAUACAUAGGAGGCCCUUUUGCGGGGCUAGUUAUUGGCAGACCAAAAGUAGACCGCCUUUGGGCGGGCUAAGGUGAAUCUGAAUAACUUGAACGACCCCUAGCCGGGCUGGGGGCGGGUCGAGCGAAUUUCUGCCCUAUCAGCUAGUUGGUAGGGUAGCGGCCUACCAAGGCGUUAACGGGUAACGGGGAGUCAGGGUUCGACUCCGGAGAGGGAGCCUGAGAAACGGCUACCACAUCCAAGGACGGCAGCAGGCGCGCAAAUUACCCAAUCCAGAAAUUGGGAGGUAGUGACCAGAAAUACUGGGGUGGCUCCUAGCGAGCCUCGCCCGGAAUGGACGUAGCCCAAAAACAUCGGUGAUGAGCUACUGGAGGGCAAGUCUGGUGCCAGCAGCCGCGGUAAUUCCAGCUCCAGUAGUGUAUAUCAACAUUGUUGCGCUUAAAACGCUCCUAGUUGAAAUGGGGGGCGCCGCCGGAGCCUCAAUUGUGUAAUUUUGGUUUCUGGUUUUGAGUAGGGCCAGAGUCGCCUAGUGAUUUGCGGGCCUACUUUUGGUGCCCCAAAAUCAUGGGCCCCGGUUUCAGUCUUGGUUGAUUGGGGCCGGGCGCCGAUGGGGUGUGCCUUGAAUAAACCAUGGUGCUCAAUGCAAGCGGAAAUGCUGGGGUGUGUUAGCAUGGAACGAACUUUUUGACUAUAGCCGGGGUGUUCCUAGUCCAAUUUUUUAAUUGGGUGCGGAGCCCGGCUGGUUAGCUUUGGUGAACCAGGUCUCAGUGGUUAAGAGGGACGCCUGGGGGCACUGGUACUCUGUGGCGAGAGGUGAAAUUCUUAGACCCGCAGAAGACCGGCUGUGGCGAAAGCAUUUGCCAAGAGUGUUUUCAUUAAUCAAGAACGAAGGUCAGAGGAUCGAAGACGAUCAGAUACCGUCCUAGUUUUGACAGCAAACAUUGCCGGCCUAGCUGCGGGGCUGCUACUCGGAGUGGAGCAGAGCGGCCUCGCCGGCUUGAGGGAAACCUAGCUUUCGGGCUGCGGGGAGAAUAUCGCUGCAAGGCUGAAAUUUAAAGAAAUUGACGGAGAGGCACCACCAGGAGUGGAGCCUGCGGCUCAAUUUGACUCAACACAGGGAAAUUACCGGGUCCAGACAUUGGUAGGAUUGACAGAGUGGUGGAUCUUUCAUGAUUCAUUGAAUGGUGGUGCAUGGCCGUUCUUAGUUGGUGGAGUGAUCUGUCAGGUCUAUUCCGGUAACGAGCGAGACCGCGGCCCCGUUUUCUAUUUUAGAAUUUGAAUAAUGGGGGCCAAAGUUUGGCUCUCUUUUUGAGUUUUUGAAAUGGGGGGCCAAUUCGUUGGGCUCUUGUUCUGGAAAAUUAAAAUGGGGGGCCAAAAUGUUGGGCUCCGUUUGGGGUUUUGAAAAUUUCGGGGGACUACCGGUUGAAAGCCGGGGUAAGCGCGGCAAUAACAGGUCUGUGAUGCCCUUCGAUGUCCUGGGCUGCACGCGGGCUACAAUGGCGUCAGAAAAAAGUAGAGGGCCUGAGCAGGCGCUCUAAACUGAAAAAGACGCCGUGACGGGGAUUGAGCCUUGGAAUUGUGGCUCAUGAAAGAGGAAUUCCUCGUAAGGGCCGGUCAUCAGCCGGCCCUGAAUACGUCUCUGCCUCUUGUACACACCGCCCGUCGCUACUACCGAUUGAAUUGUCCUCAAAGGGGGCUGGAGCGGAGAAUUUGGCUAGGCGACUAUUUUCUAGUUUUUGAAUCUGCAAGGGCCGACGAUGGGGGUCAUUUAGAGGAAGUAAAAGUCGUAACAAGGUUUCCGUAGGUGAACCAGCGGAAG